GCUACCAGUUUAUAUGUAUUCUUGGGGGCCAACAGUUCACUUGAGAAGCCCAAGGAGGAGCUGAAGUCAAGAAAUACUGUGGUGAAGGAUGAUACUUUCAGAACCUCAGACUCACCUAAUUUGCAUAGCCAAGCAACUGCGUAUGCAAAGUUGGCUGAAUUUGAGGCUGUGAAGACUGGCUCUUUGAAGAACAGUGCAGAGCAAGAAAACCUUAAAAGAUGAAAGUGGUCUUUUCAUUGUCCUCCCAAUUUCAGCUGAAAGCACUGGGAUGCUACCAAAUCGCAAAGGUUAUAAUCUUCUUGAGUUACGACACUUAAUGAUGUUAUCAUUUAGUUUACUUUGUCGUCUCAAUUUGGGAACUCAGCUGGGAGCUGCCAGGAAUGGACAUUUCCUUUUCAUUAUCUUGAGGAACAACAAAUAUUUAAAUUUUCUCAAGUACACUACUUAAUUCUCUGUAUUGCCCUAAUUAUCUUUGAUUAUAGAGGUCAUGAAUGUGUGUGCUGCACAUAUAUUAUGGUUUUCAUAUCAAUGUUGUCUUUACUAG